AAUUUGAUGUCAACAAUUUUGUUUUAUGAAUAGCUUUCAAGUUCGUCACCAAAUUUGGUAAUUAUAACUCUUCCAAAUACUUUUUAAUGUGGCACAUUUUAUUACCUAUGAACUAUAUUACCCUUCGACAUUUAAAAUAAACUUAAAGAGUAUUUCAAGUUGCACACUUCGCAAUUGUUUUAGCUUGCUCAGAAGAACAACAGUUGCUGCUGUACCAGAGUUUUAAAUAGAUGGUUCUGUUUGCUUGUUGAUACAGCCGAGGAGGAGAACAGGCCAUAAACAUACCACCGAUCCAAACCAUCCCAUAUCGUGGCAUUCCAUAACCACCAACCAUAACCAGGAGGUGCCCAAGCUAUUUCGGUGCCAGCAGCUGUCUGUGUUCUGUGUUCUUAAACAGUUGAACAGGUGCAGAGGCAGCUGAAUGCCUUUUGGGAUUAGGUUACACAUUUGCUGAAUGUUGCUCGUGGCCAGCAAGUAUCUGAUAAGCAAAAGAUACUUCUACCUUCCAGUAGUCCAAACUCGGUGCAUUCCAUGCAUAUCAAAUGCAUACAGAACCGAAUAGAAUUCAAAUAGAACACGAAACUGCUUGAAUUAAGUCUGAGAAAAAGUCUGACCGAGAGUCGGGAAAAGUAAAUAGCAAACUAUAUAGUUAAAUAAACAAUAUAUGAUGCAUUUUACGGUAACAAUUGUGGAAUUGAAUGCAAAUCUCAACUGAAAUUAGUAGCUCAACUAUCAGUGAGAGAGAUCUCACAAAGAGAAAUAGUACUGUAAUAUUUCGUAUUGUAUGUACUUGUGUGUGAUAUGUGAGUGUCAGUUUCUUAUCAGUGUGUUAGCCCCGUAACCCCGUAGCAAAGUCGUUUGAAAGGUAUGCAAAGAAAUGAGACAUGAAAUUUCAAACAAACGCCAAGAUAAGAAAACUCAAAAACAACAACAAUUAGUGGAAGUGAACGGCAUUUGUACAUACAACAAAAUGAAAUUCUAAUUAAACAACAAUUUACAGUUACACACGAUGACGAAGACGACGGCGACGACGACGACGAUUGUUGGCAACGUGCUGCUCCGGUUCCUGCUCUGAUUACGACACACGCAGCCAGCCAAUUUCCACUGCAAAAUGGAGACUAACAAAAACUCGUUGCUUGAGCACCAAAAAUAAACAACCCCAUUUAAUAUGUAAUAUAUAGUACUACAAUCUAUAAAUGUUACCCCCAAAUAAGGUAAACGAACGACAACAACAACAACAACAAAACACAACCAAAAACGAAAAAGUUCUAAGUCUCGGAAAUAUAGAUUGCCCCUAGAUAUAUGACUGCUUGAUAGCUAAACAAAGUCAAUGACCCUUUUUGGAUGCUGUCCGCCAACGCAUUAUGAUUAUCUUCAAUUUCCUAUUUUUUACUUUUCAGCGAUAGGCACGUAAAAAGGUUAAUAAGUAGCCCACACACACAGACA